rnacentral:rRNA from 1 species
CCUACGGGUGGCAGCAGUGAGGAAUAUUGGUCAAUGGGCGCGAGCCUGAACCAGCCAAGUCGCGUGAGGGAAGACGGCCCUAUGGAUUGUAAACUUCUUUUGUCGGGGAGCAAAAGACGCCACGCGUGGCGUUCCGAGUGUACUCGAAGAAAAAGCAUCGGCUAACUCCGUGCCAGCAGCCGCGGUAAUACGGAGGAUGCGAGCGUUAUCCGGAUUUAUUGGGUUUAAAGGGGGCGAAGGGGGAAGAUCAAGUCAGUGGUAAAAUUUAGAGGCCAAACCUCUUAGAGCAAUUGAAACUGGUUUCCUUGAGUACAUGAGAGGUAGGCGGAAUGCGUGGUGUAGCGGUGAAAUGCUUAGAUAUCACGAAGAACUCCGAUUGCGAAGGCAGCAUACUGGCGCUCAACUGACGCUCAUGCACGAAAGUGUGGGUAUCGAACAGGAUUAGAUACCCGAGUAGUC